GAGGGUAUAGCUCAGUGGUAGAGUGCAUGCUUAGCAUGCAUGAGGUCCUGGGUUCAAUCCUCAGAACUUCU
rnacentral:tRNA from 1 species